GUCACUUAUUAUCAAUCCAUUCAACGAGUCUAUUUGUAAUGAGAGCCAACACAACUGUACACCGAAAACUUCCGCUGGAAAGUUUAUUGACUGCUGAUAAGGAUCUUUACACUUGUGGAAGAGAUCACCGCAGUUCAAUUGAUAAUCGGAACACAUGAUCACUUGCAACAGUCAUCGGACAUUUUUAAACCUCUCACAUCGUCAGAGAGAACACAAACAACACGAACAAACAACCCGUUGGACAGCACCGAUAACGAGCAACAGACUGAAUCUUCGGGUUGGCAGGCGCUCGUCGUUAUGUUGCGAUGCUGAUUGUAGAAGAAUAAUGAAUAUGUAUCACAACUACUCAGCAUUGUUCUCACAGCGGCACUGCUGUA